UACGAAGGUCCCAAGCGUUAUCCGGAUUUAUUGGGUUUAAAGGGUGCGUAGGCGGGUUAUUAAGUCAGUGGUGAAAGCUCCAGCUCAACUGGGAAACUGCCAUUGAUACUGAUAGUCUUGAGUAUGAUUAAGUGGGCGGAAUGUGUCAUGUAGCGGUGAAAUGCUUAGAUAUGACACAGAACACCGAUUGCGAAGGCAGCUCACUAAGCCAUAACUGACGCUGGAUGACACGAAAGCGUGGGGAGCAACAGG
rnacentral:rRNA from 1 species